rnacentral:rRNA from 1 species
UACGUAGGGGGCAAGCGUUGUCCGGAAUCAUUGGGCGUAAAGAGCGCGUAGGCGGCCCAGUAAGUCCGCUCUGAAAGUCAGGGGCUCAACCCCUGGAUGCGGGUGGAUACUGCUGGGCUAGAGUCCGGAAGAGGUGAGCGGAAUUCCCGGUGUAGUGGUGAAAUGCGUAGAUAUCGGGAGGAACACCAGUGGCGAAGGCGGCUUCCUGGCCUGUUCUUGACGCUGAGGCGCGAAAGCUAGGGGAGCAAACGGG